rnacentral:rRNA from 1 species
AUUACCGCGGCUGCUGGCACGGAGUUAGCCGGUGCUUAUUCAUUUGGUACCUUCAGCUAUCUACACGUAAAUAGGUUUAUUCCCAAAUAAAAGCAGUUUACAAUCCAUAGGACCGUCUUCCUGCACGCGGCAUGGCUGGUUCAGGCUUGCGCCCAUUGACCAAUAUUCCUCACUGCUGCCUCCCGUAGG